rnacentral:rRNA from 1 species
GAUGAACGCUGGUGGCAGGCUUAACACAUGCAAGUCGAACGCCCCGCAAGGGGAGUGGCAGACGGGUGAGUAACGCGUGGGAAUCUACCCAACUCUACGGAAUAACUCAGGGAAACUUGUGCUAAUACCGUAUACGCCCUUCGGGGGAAAGAUUUAUCGGAGUUGGAUGAGCCCGCGUUGGAUUAGCUAGUUGGUGGGGUAAAGGCCUACCAAGGCGACGAUCCAUAGCUGGUCUGAGAGGAUGAUCAGCCACAUUGGGACUGAGACACGGCCCAAACUCCUACGGGAGGCAGCAGUGGGGAAUAUUGGACAAUGGGCGCAAGCCUGAUCCAGCCAUGCCGCGUGAGUGAUGAAGGCCCUAGGGUUGCAAAGCUCUUUCACCGGUGAAGAUAAUGACGGUAACCGGAGAAGAAGCCCCAGCUAACUUCGUGCCAGCAGCCGCCGUAAUAC